GAAAUCUGGUGCCAGAAGCAGCGGUAAAUCCAACUACAAGCUUUUUAACUGCAGCAACUUUAAUAUACGCUAUUGGAGCUGGAAUUACCAUGGCUGCUGUCACCAGAAUAGGGUU